rnacentral:rRNA from 1 species
GGGAUGAGCUGUGGAUAGGGGUGAAAGGCCAAUCAAACUUCGUGAUAGCUGGUUCUCUCCGAAAUGCAUUUAGGUGCAGCGUUGCGUGUUUCUUGCCGGAGGUAGAGCUACUGGAUGGCCGAUGGGCCCUAAAAGGUUACUGACGUCAGCCAAACUCCGAAUGCCGGUAAGUGAGAGCGCAGCAGUGAGACUGUGGGGGAUAAGCUUCAUAGUCGAGAGGGAAACAGCCCAGAUCGCCGGCUAAGGUCCCCAAGUCGUGGCUAAGUGGGAAAGGAUGUGGGACUCCCAAAACAACCAGGAGGUUGGCUUAGAAGCAGCCAUCCUUGAAAGAGUGCGUAAUAGCUCACUGGUCAAGUGAUUCCGCGCCGACAAUGUAACGGGGCUCAAGCACACCGCCGAAGUCGUGGAAUUCGUAUUAUUGGUAGGCCUUCGUGGUCCAGCCGUACGGAUUGGUAGGAGAGCGUCGUGUGGCGAGUGAAGCGGCGGUGUAAACCAGCCGUGGACGCCACACGAGUGAGAAUGCAGGCAUGAGUAGCGAAAGACGGGUGAGAAACCCGUCCUCCGAAAGACCAAGGGUUCCAGGGUCAAGCUAAUCUGCCCUGGGUAAGUCGGGACCUAAGGCGAGGCCGUCAGGCGUAGUCGAUGGACAACGGGUUGAUAUUCCCGUACCGGCGAAGAACCGCCCAAGUCAAUCCAGUAAUGCUAAGCACCCGAAUACCACGGGUUCUCCUUUGGGAGUUUCUGUGGGGCUAGCGUGCGACCCUAUGCUGGUGCGGCUAACGUAUUAACAGGUGUGACGCAGGAAGGUAGCCUCCGCGGGGCGAUGGUUGUCCCCGUCUAAGGAUGUAGGGCGAACGAUAGGCAAAUCCGUCGUUCACAUGCCUGAGAUCUGAUGGUGAGUCCGUAUGGACGAAGAGGGUGAUCCUAUGCUGCCGAGAAAAGCAUCGACGUGAGGUUCUAGCCGCCCGUACCCUAAACCGACUCAGGUGGUCAGGUAGAGAAUACCAAGGAGAUCGAGAGAAUCAUGGUUAAGGAACUCGGCAAAAUGCCCCCGUAACUUCGGGAGAAGGGGGGCCUGAGGCGUGAAGAGAUUUACUCUCCGAGCGUUUGAAGGCCGCAGAGACCAGUGGGAAGCGACUGUUUACUAAAAACACAGGUCCGUGCGAAGUCGUAAGACGCUGUAU